rnacentral:rRNA from 1 species
GAGUGUUCUUAGCGAACUGUCAAAACUUUUAACAACGGAUCUCUUGGCUCCAGCAUCGAUGAAGAACGCAGCGAAACGCGAUAUGUAAUGUGAAUUGCAGAAUUCAGUGAAUCAUCGAAUCUUUGAACGCACAUGGCGCCUUCCAGUAUCCUGGGAGGCAUGCCUGUCCGAGCGUCGUUUCAACCCUCGAGCCCCUGUGGCCCGGCGUUGGGGAUCUGCCACGGCAGGCCCCUAAAACCAGUGGCGGACCCGAAGGGCCCUCUCCUUUGCGCAGUAGCAUUCGCCUCGCAUCGGGAGUCCUCGGCGUCCUGCCUCUAAACCCCCCACAAGCCCGCUUCGGCGGCACCAAGGUUGACCUCGGAUCAGGUAGGAAUACCCGCUGAACUUAA